AUUGAACGCUGGCGGAAUGCUUUACACAUGCAAGUCGAACGGCAGCACGGACUUCGGUCUGGUGGCGAGUGGCGAACGGGUGAGUAACAUAUCGGAACGUAUCCAAUAAUGGGGGAUAACUAAUCGAAAGGUUGGCUAAUACCGCAUACGCCCUACGGGGGAAAGCAGGGGAUCUUCGGACCUUGCGUUAAUGGAGCGGCUGAUAUCUGAUUAGCUAGUUGGUGAGGUAAAGGCUCACCAAGGCGACGAUCAGUAGCUGGUCUGAGAGGACGACCAGCCACACUGGAACUGAGCCACGGUCCAGAGUCCUACGGGAGGCAGCAGUGGGGAAUUUUGGACAAUUGGCGCAAGCCUGAUCCAGCCAUUCCGCGUGAGUGAAGAAGGCCUUCGGGUUGUAAAGCUCUUUCGCAAGGGAAGAAAACUUACUUUCUAAUAAAGAGUGAGGUUGACGGUACCUUGAUAAGAAGCACCGGCUAACUACGUGCCAGCCGCCGCGGUAA
rnacentral:rRNA from 1 species